AUUGAACGCUGGCGGCAUGCCUUACACAUGCAAGUCGAACGGUAACGCGGUUUCGGGUGGCGCCGAGUGGCGCACAGGGGCGGAAUAGUUCGGAAUGUGCCCGAUUGUGCGGGAUAACGGGGGGUAAGAUUUGGUAAUUUCCGCUAAUAACUCAUACUACAAGCAGGGGAAAGCACGGGAUCGCGCGGCCGGGGGGGACGAUGGGAGAUUAGUUAGUAGGAGGGAUAUAGGGGUACCAAGGCGACGAUCUGUAGCGGGUCUGAGAGGAUGAUCAGCCACACUGGGACUGAGACACGGCCCAGACUCCUACGGGAGGCAGCAGUGGGGAAUAUUGGACAAUGGGCGCAAGCCUGAUCCAGCCAUACCGCGUGCAGGAUGAAGGCCUUCGGGUUGUAAAGUGCUUUUGUACGGAACGAAAAGCCGCCUUUUAAUACAGGAGGGUCAUGACGGUACCGGAAGAAUAAGCACCGGCUAACUACGUG
rnacentral:rRNA from 1 species